CACUUUGUUUUACUCUUAUUUGGAUGAACAAUGAGCAAAUGUUGCAGGUCCAACCAGGCAUCUAAGAAGACAGCCAAGGCCGUCAGGCCCCUACCUCACCCGCCAUAAAUAGCCGGGCCCGGAGACAACGUCCUCUUUGUGCGAAUUGCUCCCUAGUGAGAGGUCUUCUUGUAGUGUGCUUGGUGGCUCCUGCGCUACCAGCUUAAGGAGAAAAUGGUGGCGGUCUCUAGCGCCACGGCCAUCCUUGCACAGUUGUCUGCCGGCAAGUACCCUGGGGACCUGCUGGGUGAGGGGACCGCAGUCUCGGGCUGAGCAGGAUGAAUUACCAUAACAGACUAGAGUUUCUGAUGUCCGUGUGACGCCAUUGCUUGGAACUGAUGCAGCCCGGACCAUGGGGGGACUCGGCUAGAGUCGCCCGAGCUUUUGCUGACUCAUUGGUUCCUUUACAGGCCCUGAUUCUCGCGGGCGUGUCUACAGCGCAACAAGGGGCUUUAAGACAUAGACCUGUUGUCCUUGAAUAAAGCAUGAGCUCUGGAAGCCCAGGGGCAGUGCCCCUUCCCAGAUUCACCACUAAACUGGUGACUGAAAGCCUAAGGUUACUACUGUUGGAAAAGUACUGUUGUGAUGUCUGGGAUGCCUAGGGAAUGGUUCCUGCCACUUAGGGCUGUGUUUGACAAGAGCAACGGUCCUUCUCUUGGGCUACUCUGGAUUUUGCUGACAAAAAGUACGUCUUCUGUCUGGUUUUGGGCAGAUCCUAGGAACUUCCUGCAUUAGCCAGUGUGAGCAGCUGUCAACUUACUGGAGAAAAAAACUGCCUUGAAAUUUGGGGGAGCUUAAAUAUCAUUUAUCUUUCAUUUGUCUGAAAUAAGUACUUGGUUUUAUUAAAAGGAUUCCAAUAAAAUAUAUUAAAGAAAAUAAA